rnacentral:rRNA from 1 species
AGUGAACGCUGGCGGUAGGCCUAACACAUGCAAGUCGAACGGCAGCACAGUAAGAGCUUGCUCUUACGGGUGGCGAGUGGCGGACGGGUGAGGAAUACAUCGGAAUCUACUUUUUCGUGGGGGAUCACGUAGGGAAACUUACGCUAAUACCGCAUACGACCUACGGGUGAAAGCAGGGGAUCUUCGGACCUUGCGCGAUUGAAUGAGCCGAUGUCGGAUUAGCUAGUUGGCGGGGUAAAGGCCCACCAAGGCGACGAUCCGUAGCUGGUCUGAGAGGAUGAUCAGCCACACUGGAACUGAGACACGGUCCAGACGCCUACGGGAGGCAGCAGUGGGGAAUAUUGGACAAUGGGCGCAAGCCUGAUCCAGCCAUACCGCGUGUGUGAAGAAGGCCUUCGGGUUGUAAAGCCCUUUUGUUGGGAAAGAAAAGCAGCAGGUUAAUACCCCGCUGUUCUGACGGUACCCAAAGAAUAAGCACCGGCUAACUUCGUG